GAUGAACGCUGGCGGCGUGCCUAAUACAUGCAAGUCGAGCGAACGGACGAGAAGCUUGCUUCUCUGAUGUUAGCGGCGGACGGGUGAGUAACACGUGGAUAACCUACCUAUAAGACUGGGAUAACUUCGGGAAACCGGAGCUAAUACCGGAUAAUAUUUUGAACCGCAUGGUUCAAAAGUGAAAGACGGUCUUGCUGUCACUUAUAGAUGGAUCCGCGCUGCAUUAGCUAGUUGGUAAGGUAACGGCUUGCCAAGGCAACGAUGCAUAGCCGACCUGAGAGGGUGAUCGGCCACACUGGAACUGAGACACGGUCCAGACUCCUAUGGGAGGCAGCAGUAGGGAAUCUUCCGCAAUGGGCGAAAGCCUGACGGAGCAACGCCGCGUGAGUGAUGAAGGUCUUCGGAUCGUAAAACUCUGUUAUUAGGGAAGAACAUAUGUGUAAGUAACUGUGCACAUCUUGACGGUACCUAAUCAGAAAGCCACGGCUAACUACGUG
rnacentral:rRNA from 1 species